rnacentral:lncRNA from 15 species
UGAAGAAAAUAAAGCCUAUUGAUUAAUAGUCAAUGAAUGAUGAAUCACUAGAAAUGUCUGUCAGAACGGCCAACCUUAUUUCUUCUGUUGUUCCAACUUCCAAAAAAUGUGGUAAAAGUUCAAAUAUGAUAUUCCUCCUCUUGCUAGCCCCUUAAAUCCCCAUCAAGGCCCCUUGUUGGUCCCUGGACCCCAGUUUGGAAACCACUGAAUUACAUAACUUCUUGUGUUGUUCGCUCUAUAUCAUGAUUUCUCCAGAAUUGCUUACCCCACCUUUAAUUGGUACAAUGUACAUUUUCUGUUGGAUUAAACUGUUACCCUUCAGUCACAGACUGGUUGAACUGGGCAGCUCCCAGUAUGAAUCUGUGGAUCUGUGUGAAUGUGAGACACAUCAGACUGCAACAUCUUACAGGAAGAACACAUAGUAACUGUUGAUUGAAUAAUUUGAAUAAAAUCUUUCUAACAGCACUGCAGGAUGGAAACACUGGUUUCAUCAAAAAAGAAAUCCCAGUCUGCGCAGGAACUGAAGGAGGAAACAUCACAGUUGGAUGCUCCUUCGUCUUCAUCUUCUCUAGAGAAAGAAAGGUCUUAUGUAAGGAAAAAUGUGAAGGAAAAUACAUUCUUAUUGAAACAACUGACAACAGAGCUCAGUGAGGCAGAUACAGCAUUGAAUAUAAAGAAGGAUCCUUUGGCUUAUCUUCAUCAGUUCUGUAUGUGAGCAUCACAAAGCUGAUUAAGUCUGACUCAGGGCGGUACAGAUGUUGGUUGGACAGACGUUUUCUUCUAGAUUCAAGCAGGGACUUUGAGCUCAGAGUUGAAGAUGCUCCAACCGCUUCAAAACCAAACUGGAAAACCACCACCAAAGCACCUUUUACACCAUCAGUCCCAUCAGCCUCCACACCGACAACAACACAGAGUUUAAGCUCCAGUUCAGGAAGCUCCACACCUUCAUCAUCCUCCCCUGAAACCACCAACCAGCCUGAACAGCAACAGAGAACUGCAGGUCCAGCAACCACAGGUUUGCUGCUGUACGUGUGUCUGACUGUGGUUGCCAUGUUCAUCAUAACAUCAGCUGCUGUGCUGAUAUUCUUCAGGACGAGGGCCAGUAAACUCAAAGAACCUGCUCUGGAAACUGAGUAUGCUAGUGUCACAGAGGCCAACAGAGUGUAUGAGGAGAUCGGAGAGCAGGACAGACAGAGCAGAUCUCCUCCUGCAGAAAUAUCUACAGUGUACACUUAACACUGCAGCCAGUUCUCAGAAGAAAGUGAGUAAAAACUCUGGUAGGGUUUUUGAACCUACAUUUGAAUAAAUCCACAACUUGACAUGAUGAGAGUUUUUUUACACAUUUCAUAAAAGCUGUUUCUCUAUCCCACAUCCAAAAACAGCAGUUGUAAAAUGACUAUUAAAUUGUUCAAUUGCUUUUUUGUGUUUGGAUCCAGGAAGUGUUCCCCUUAAUGUUGAGUUUAAUAAGAAAAAUACAUAAUAUCUAUUUAUGUCCAAUUUAUUCAUCAAGAGAGAAAAGUAACCAAUUAAGAAACAGGGACCAGGUCAGUCCUUAAAAGCCCAGUUGAUAUCUAAAACAAAGAAAAGGAAUUACAGAUGGUUAUUAUCUUAGAAUAACAUACAGUACGUGGACAAUACAAAUCAUCUCUUCAUACCUGAAUUAUUUA